rnacentral:RNase_P_RNA from 1 species
AAAGCAACGUGUUCUGUCGCUUUCGGUCGAAGGGCUGAAAGAGGAAAGUCGGGGCAACAAAGGGCACCAUACUUCCUAACGGGAAGGUUCUGCAGCCGGCGGAAACAGCAAGUGCCACAGAAAAUUACCGUCCCGUCAUGAUUUAUCAUGACAGGAUAAGGGUGAAAAUGUGGGGUAANNAGCCUGCGCGGGUAAACCUUAUGGGUUGAAAGGCCAAAUAUACCGGAUCGUUGUGCUGCAAAGUGCAACAAAGGGCUGCCCGCUCUUUUCCGGGGGGUAGGCCGUUAGAACCUGAUGGCGACAUCAGGUGCAGAUAAAUGACAGAAGUCCCGCUGCUGCGGGAGACAGAACCCCGCUUACAACGUUGUACGGCAC